GGGGAAUAUUGCGCAAUGGGGGAAACCCUGACGCAGCAACGCCGCGUGGAGGACGAAGGUUUUCGGAUUGUAAACUCCUGUCCUCUGGGACGAAUAAUGACGGUACCAGAGGAGGAAGCCACGGCUAACUACGUGCCAGCAGCCGCGGUAAUACGUAGGUGGCAAGCGUUGUCCGGAGUUACUGGGCGUAAAGGGCGCGUAGGCGGUCUUUUAAGUCAGAUGUGAAAACCCGGGGCUCAACCUCGGACCUGCAUUUGAAACUGGGAGACUCGAGUGUCGGAGAGGAAAGCGGAAUUCCUAGUGUAGCGGUGAAAUGCGUAGAUAUUAGGAGGAACACCAGUGGCGAAGGCGGCUUUCUGGACGAUAACUGACGCUGAGGCGCGAAAGCGUGGGGAGCAAAC
rnacentral:rRNA from 1 species